rnacentral:rRNA from 1 species
AAAAACGACUCUCGGCAACGGAUAUCUCGGCUCUCGCAUCGAUGAAGAACGUAGCGAAAUGCGAUACUUGGUGUGAAUUGCAGAAUCCCGUGAACCAUCGAGUCUUUGAACGCAAGUUGCGCCCGAAGCCUUCUGGCCGAGGGCACGUCUGUCUGGGCGUCACGC